UGCAUGUAAGUUUUACCCAAUAAAUAAACCCAAAAUACUACUUUAUCCGUUUUAUAUUACUCGGUCAUUUUCUUUUUUACAGGUCCAAAAUUCCAAAUAAUUAUGUUAAAGUUUAAUUUAGAGAAAAGACAUAUUUUUCCCACUGAACUUGUCCUCCCAACUCACUUUAGCACUUAAACUUAACUUUCGUUUAUUUACCCCCUUAACGUCUUUAAAGUGUAUUUAUUUGACCCCUAAAGUUGACGUGAUAUUUUUUUUAAAAAAAACGGGGGCAUUUAUUUAUUGAAAAAAUUAAUUUCAGUAAUAUUAUAUUUAAAAUAUAAUUAAAAAAUAAAAUUAAAAAUAAAAUAAAAAAUGGACUUUUUUUCUUCUUUCUUCUUCAAAUCAUCAUCAACAACACUCAAACCUCCAUUAACAACCUCAAUUUUUUUUCACUUUACUCCAUUAACAACAACACCCAAGAACAACAAUUUCCUUUAAUUUUUUUUCACUUUACUCCAUUAACGCCACCACCCAAGAACACCACUUUCCUUUAAUCUUUUUUCACUUUCCUCCGUUAACACCACCACCCAAGAACAACACUUUCCUUUAAUUUUUUUCACUUUCCUCCAUUAACAACACCACUCAAGAACAACGCUUUUCUUUAUUUCCUUCAUUAACACCACCACUUAAGAACAAUACUUUUCUUUAUUUAUUUAUUUUUCACUUUCUUCCAUUAACACCACCACCUAAAACAACACUUUCCUUUAAUUAAAAGGGAGAAAGAAUAGCAGGUGAGGC
rnacentral:lncRNA from 1 species